GACGAACGCUGGCGGCGUGCUUAACACAUGCAAGUCGAACGGAAAGGCCCUGCUUUUGUGGGGUGCUCGAGUGGCGAACGGGUGAGUAACACGUGAGUAACCUGCCCUUGACUUUGGGAUAACUUCAGGAAACUGGGGCUAAUACCGGAUAGGAGCUCCUGCUGCAUGGUGGGGUUUGGAAAGUUUAGGCGGUGGGGGCUGGACUCGGGGGUUAUCAGCUUGUUGGUGGGGUAGUGGCUUACCAAGGCUUUGACGGGUAGCCGGCCUGAGAGGGUGACCGGGCACAUUGGUACUGAGAGACGGCCCAGACUGCUACGGGAGGCAGCAGUGGGGAAUAUUGCACAAUGGGCGGAAGCCUGAUGCAGAAACGCCGGGUGCGGGAUGACGGCCUUCGGGUUGUAAACCGCUUUCGCCUGUGACGAAGCGUGAGUGACGGUAAUGGGUAAAGAAGCACCGGCUAACUACGUG
rnacentral:rRNA from 1 species